UGAGAAGACAGAUGAAAUGAUAGGAUCCC
rnacentral:piRNA from 1 species